UACCUGCAGCUCGAGUGGUAACCGCUAUUAUUGGGCCUAAAGCGUCCGUAGCCGGUUUGGUAAAUAUCUGGGUAAAUCGUGAGGCUUAACUUCACGAAUUUCGGAUAGACUGCCAGACUUGGGAUCGGGGGAGGUCAGAGGUACUCCAGGGGUAGCGGUGAAAUGUUGUAAUCCUUGGAGGACCACCGGUAGCGAAGGCGUCUGACUAGAACGAGUCCGACGGUGAGGGACGAAGCCCUGGGGCGCAAACCGGAUUAGAUACCCGGGUAGUCCAGGGUGUAAACGAUGUGGGCUUUGUAUUGGAGGUCCCACGCGGGCGUCCAGUGCAGAAGAGAAGUUGUUAAGCCCACCGCCUGGGAAGUACGGUCGCAAGGCUGAAACUUAAAGGAAUUGGCGGGGGAGCACAGCAACGGGAGGAGCGUGCGGUUU
rnacentral:rRNA from 1 species